rnacentral:rRNA from 1 species
UUAGUGGCGGACGGGUGAGUAACGCGUGGAAAACCUGCCGUAUACUGGGGGAUAACACUUAGAAAUAGGUGCUAAUACCGCAUAAGCGCACAGCUUCGCAUGAAGCGGUGUGAAAAACUCUGGUGGUAUACGAUGGUUCCGCGUCUGAUUAGCUAGUUGGUGGGGUAAUGGCCUACCAAGGCAACGAUCAGUAGCCGGCCUGAGAGGGUGAACGGCCACAUUGGGACUGAGACACGGCCCAAACUCCUACGGAAGGCAGCAG